AUAAAAUUUUAAUUAAAUAAAUAAUUUUAUCUUGUUAGGAUUGAAGAUUAUUAAACGUAAAAAAUUACGUUAUAGUAAAAAAUUUUAUAAUUAGCAAAAAAGGUGCCAGCAGCUGCGGUUAUACCUUUAAUUUAAAAGAAUUU
rnacentral:rRNA from 1 species